GCGGGAUGAAGUUAAAAGACUUCGACACAGUGCAACUCUGCAGAACACCCACUACGGAAGAAAGGCAGAACAAGGGCGCCGAAGUCUGAAUAUGAGAUAAUGAAAGCAAGACGAGGAGGUGAAAGUCGAGAGAGAACGCAUAAACCUGCCAGGAGAAUCUAGAGGAGAUUGUGAAAGGACAGCUCCAGCUGUGACUGGAGUGCACACCCUUAGCCCUUAAUCUGUCAGAAAACAAAGAUGGAGUUGUGGCGGCAGUGUGCGAGCUGGCUGAUCGAUUGCAGGGUUCUUCCUGAGAACCACCGGGUCACAUGGGAGGGGGCACAGGUGUGCGACCUGGCCCAGGCCCUCAGAGAUGGUGUGCUGCUCUGCCAGUUGCUCAACAACCUGCUGCCUCAGGCUGUCAACCUGAGGGAGAUCAACCUGCGCCCACAGAUGUCCCAGUUCCUGUGCCUGAAGAACAUCAGGACGUUCCUGUGCUCUUGUCAGGACAAGUUUCAUCUGAAAAAGAACGAGCUGUUUGAAGCGUUUGACCUCUUUGACGUGCGAGACUUUGGAAAGGUCAUAGACACGCUGUCCAUCCUGUCUCAUUCAUCCAUCGCUAUACACAAAGGCCUUCAACCUUUUCCUUUGGAAGGAUCCAUUCCUGAUGACGAGAUCUACAGCGGCCUGUCCGACCAGAUAGAUGACACAGUGGAUGAGGAUGACGACUUAUACGACUUUGUGGAGGACGAGGAGAACGAGGGAGAUGAGAUCUAUGAAGACUUGAUGAGGACGGAUGAACAGGCUGAAGCGCAGCAGCCGAAGACUGGUGUAGACAAGCGAGAGUGUUGCCUGCAGGAGAUCAGACAGACUGAGGAGAAGUACACCGACACACUGGAAUCUAUAUUACAGCACUUUAUGAAACCGCUUCAAAAGUUCCUUCAGACUCAAGACAUGGAAAGUAUCUUCAUCAACAUAGAGGAGCUGGCUCACACCCAUCGUGGUUUGCUGGAGGAAGUUCGGAACUCCAUCCUCAACUACGGAGCCAGGGAUCUCCACCAGGUGUUCCUAAACUACAAGGAGAGGCUCUUACUGUACGGUCAUUACUGCAGUCAGGUGGAAACGGCGACUAAACACCUCGACAAGCUUUCAAACGCGAGGGAGGACAUCAGGAUGAAACUGGAGGAGUGUUCGAAGAGAGCAAACAGCGGUCGGUUUUCUCUCAGAGAUUUACUCAUGGUCCCUAUGCAGAGAGUCCUCAAAUAUCACCUGCUGCUACAGGAGCUGGUGAAACACACCACUGACUCCACGGAAAAGGAGAACCUCAGAACGGCUCUGGACGCAAUGAGAGACUUGGCGCAGUGUGUGAACGAGGUGAAGCGGGACAAUGAGAUCAUCAGACAAAUCACCACCUUUCAGCUGUCCAUAGAAAACAUGACUCAGUCUCUAGCUUUCUACGGUCGGCCCAAGAUCGACGGCGAGCUGAAGAUCUGCAGCUCGGAGAAAAAGUCUAAACAGGACAGGUACGCGUUCCUCUUCGACAAAGCCGUGUUUAUUUGUAAGAAGAAGAGCGGAGAGACGUUUGAGCUGAAGGAGAUCAUUGAACUGCAGAACUACCAGAUACGAGAUGAAACCACCGGAGAGAAGGACAAUAAAAAGUGGUCCUAUUUGUUCCUCUUGCUGGACUACUACGGGAAGUGUGGGUACGAUUUAUACUUCAAAACCAGAGAACUGAAGAAGAAAUGGCUGGAGCAGUUUGAGAUGGCUUUGUCAAAUAUGUGUCCUGAGAACUGCACGGCAAACAACCAUGACUUCCAGAUGUACUGCUUUGAGGACACCACCUCCUGCAAGGCCUGCUCUAUGUUGUUAAGGGGGAUAUUUUUCCAGGGUUAUCGCUGCACUCGCUGUAAAAUGGCGGCCCAUAAAGAGUGUUUAGGCAGAGUCCCCGCCUGCGGACGAAACUCAGAUCAUUCUGCUGCUACGAAGAGGGUUAAAACACCGAAAACGUCGGGGCAAUCCACCGCCGGAUACCCAAAAAUGGAGGUGUGUCAGGAGUAUUACGGCUUGCCGCCGCCACCCGUGGGCUUCGGCCAGCCGCUGCAGCUCACCAAAGGAGACAUUAUCGAGCUCACCCGAGCCGACGUAGACCUGCCCUGGUGGGAGGGAAGAAACCUGACUGUUGGUCAAAUGGGAUGGUUCCCCUGUCACAAGGUCCAGCCCUACGUCUCUAGGGCGACCCCAGACCUGUCUGGCUUCAACUGGUUCGCGGGGAACAUGGACCGCACGGCCGCCAAAAACCUGCUAAUGUCUCGGUCUGAUGGGACCUUCCUGGUACGGCAGAAAGACGGAGGAGAGUUCGCCAUCAGCAUCAAGUUCAAUAUGGACAUCAGGCACAUUAAGAUCACCUCUGCUGAAGGCCUGUGCCGCAUCAACGACAAGAAAGCGUUCAAGGGUUUAAUUGAGCUGAUUCAGUUUUACCAGCAAAACUCCCUGAAGGAGUACUUUAAGGACGUGGACACCACGCUGCGUAUACCGUACAAACAGCCUGAGCAGAGCAACUCGUCUAACAACACGCUGAACGCCAUGCCAGCUCUUCCAUGCUGGAAUGUGGGCUCUGUCUCACAGGGGGCAACAUGAGGAGUUUUGGCGUGGCGAGGGCCAGGUACGACUUCUCAGCCCGGGACCGCACAGAGCUGUCGCUGCGGGAAGGGGACACCAUCAAAAUCCUCUCCAAGAAGGGCCACAGCGGCUGGUGGAAAGGAGAGGUGUAUGGCCGGGUGGGUCUCUUUCCAGCCAACUAUGUGGAGGAGGAUUACUCCGACUACUGCUGAUGAGCCUCCAGAGGAGACAAUGUAGAGUGUCGUCUCUACUGUGUGUGAGCGACUGCAUUAACCCAUAUGCAUGAGAGUGGCUGUGUUCGUAUGUGAGGGACGCUGGUACUUGUAAUGAGAGAGAUGGAGAUGUGAAUAAAGUUUGUUCAGCUGA